rnacentral:rRNA from 1 species
AUUGAACGCUGGCGGCAGGCCUAACACAUGCAAGUCGAGCGGGGUUUUCGGACCUAGCGGCGGACGGGUGAGUAAUGCGUAGGAAGCUACCCGAUAGAGGGGGAUACCAGUUGGAAACGACUGUUAAUACCGCAUAAUGUCUACGGGCCAAAGUGUGGGACCUUCGGGCCACAUGCUAUCGGAUGCGCCUACGUGGGAUUAGCUAGUUGGUGAGGUAAUGGCUCACCAAGGCGACGAUCCCUAGCUGGUUUGAGAGGAUGAUCAGCCACACUGAAACUGAUACACGGUCCAGACUCCUACGGGAGGCAGCAGUGGGGAAUAUUGGACAAUGGGCGCAAGCCUGAUCCAGCCAUGCCGCGUGUGUGAAGAAGGCCUUCGGGUUGUAAAGCACUUUCAGUAGGGAGGAAGGGUGUUGUGUUAAUAGCACAGCAUUUUGACGUUACCUACAGAAGAAGCACCGGCUAACUCUGUGCCAGCAGCCGCAGUAAUAC